GACGAACGCUGGCGGCAUGCUUAACACAUGCAAGUCGAACGGAAAGGCCCUGCUUUUGUGGGGUGCUCGAGUGGCGAACGGGUGAGUAACACGUGAGUAACCUGCCCUUUACUUUGGGAUAACUUCAGGAAACUGGGGCUAAUACCGGAUAGGAGCUCCUGCUGCAUGGUGGGGGUUGGAAAGUUUCGGCGGUUGGGGUUGGACUCGCGGCUUAUCAGCUUGUUGGUGGGGUAGUGGCUUACCAAGGCUUUGACGGGUAGCCGGCCUGAGAGGGUGACCGGCCACAUGGGGACUGAGAGACGGCCCAGACUCCUAUGGGAGGCAGCAGUGGGGAAUAUUGCACAAUGGGCGGAAGCCUGAUGCAGCAACGCCGCGUGCGGGAUGACGGCCUUCGGGUUGUAAACCGCUUUCGCCUGUGACGAAGCGUGAGUGACGGUAAUGGGUAAAGAAGCACCGGCUAACUACGUG
rnacentral:rRNA from 1 species